UCCCAUCUCUUCUCCUCCACGCAGUUGUCGCCGUCGUGUGCUGACGUUGCUGCACCUCACCUGUCGUUGUCGUUGCGGCCGUCGUGUCCUCUUUCGUCUGCGCAUCCGUUGCAUCCUCCCUCGCCUGCCACCGUCACCGCCUGUCACCUGCCCUCCCUCAUCUGCCGCCUGUCGCGUCCUCCCUCCCCUGGACGGAGACAGCCGCUGCUCGGGGCCGGCGGGGGCGAGCUCCCUUGGGCGGCGCGGCCGGGGCUCGGGGCCGGUGCUCGAAUCCGCUGUGAUCUUAUCUGCACCCGAUUUGUCCUAGGUAUAUCGCCAGGUUUGCAACCACCAAUAUUGCUGCUAGAGGUCGAGGGAUUGUUUUAUCCCUCUGAAGUGUUUCAGAUGGCCACAUUGUCAUCUGUGACUUUUUUUGUGAGGUUUGCUCUCCACUGCUUGUGUGUUCAAGCUGGUGUUCUUCAGUUCCCCUUGCGGGAUUGCUGCUUGUCGACUAGGUGGUGCCGGUGAGACGACCAGCGACUGAGCCUGGUGAAUGGAAGGACUGCCCGGGACGCUCAACGGAUAAAUGGCAUACUUCUAGUGGGCCACUGAUGGGGCUUUGAAGAUCUUUUCGUCAAAUUUGGGUUCUGGCCAUGAGUUUCAUCCUAGGUUGUUCUUCAUUGCGGGAGAUGAAGAAGGCUCGGCCUACAGCAACAACGGUUGGCGGCGGCGAGGAUGGCUGAGUGCUCCUGCUUCGAUAAUGAUAAUAUAAAAAAAGAAAUCCUGUUUAAGAGGAUGGAUGUAAAAGUAUUAUGAUAAUGAAAUCCAACCCUUCUUCAAAAAAAAA